AGAUCAGAGUGAAAUUCAGCUGUGACAUGUGCUGCCCCAUUGAUUGCCAUGGUUGAUUCAGCUGUUUUAGCUAGCUUGGUAAGUGUCUCCUUCAUCCCUCAUCACUCCACAUGUGACCCUCCUGAAGGUAGACACUCAACCAUUGAUACUUUCUAUGAUAGAGGAGGACUGUACUUUGGUCAAGUGCAUAAAAUAAUUUCUGAUAGAAUCUCCAAACAAGAUCAAGAAAGUAAAAUAGCAGAGAAAUUUUAUAGAAAUUCUUCACUUGUGUUUUGCAUUUCAAAAAGCUAGUGGCUUACAAGGUGUUUG
rnacentral:snRNA from 1 species